AAAAAAAGAGUAGAACUGCCCAGGUCGUUUCUUUCUUUGCCAAUGUUUGGUCGUCUUCAACCUCUGUCCAUGGAUGAAAACGACAGAAACUGCCCGCGUCGACGCUCCCCACUGCACCCCGCCUCACCCCGGACCUGAGGCUCGUCUAGAACCUUCCUCUACCCCUUUCCCCUUCGUCUUCCCGCGUUGAUGCACUUUUAUUCGAGCCAUAAUGGCCAUGGCGUUACAGGAAACGGCUGCCACCAUUAACGCUGCCUCCCGUUGCUCCACAUCCCUCCUCUCUGUAUAAAGCCACACCGAGAUUCCCCAUUGCGUAUUGCACUCCUCCACCACUCCACGCCCCCAGGCUGCUCCUGUGGAGGGCGAAUUUCUUCGCCGGAGUUCCGACGGCCGUCACGACGUCUCGUCAAAUUCUCCGGCCGGAGGCCACCCACGACGAACACCCGACGCCAACAUCGAUGUAGCUGUCCGCCGCCAUCUCCAGGAGCUUCGCCAGAGGAGCACCGCAUCUUUUCCAGCGUGAAGGGAGGGGCGACGUUCACUGCGUGUUCUUCCCGGGAACCCCACAUCCUCGACACCAGCUCCAACCGAACCACUGCAUCAAGCAGCUUUCUGGCGACCAAAUUCCCUUCCGUAGCUGCACUUUCAGAUUUCGCGAAGAGUGACGAAGAUAAUUUAUCAAGGAAAUAAUGUCGGUUGCUAAGUUCACAAGAUAAUUAUUCUUCAUCAAUGAAGGGCAAGUUACACAUGACCUUUUGUCCUACUAUUUUUAAUAUGCAUGUUUUACAAAUAUUUUCGUAGAAAUGCAUGUGUAGGAAAAUUAUGCUUUGCUAUCCUAGUAGAGAGCCAUAGGAUUUCUUACCAUGUUCCUUGUAGCCCUUUUAUUAAAAUGCGUAUAUUGUAUGAGUGCUUAGCCAGUUGCUUGGUAGACGUGGGAUAUGGGUUUUCAAAGAACAAAACCUUUUAUGAAAAUUGACAUGCGCCCAUUCUGGGGUGGUAUGGUGAAAAUAUUUUUGAAAUAAAAACUUAUCAAAAUGUUUUCCUCUGGGCGGAGUGGUAUGUUGGGAGCGUCUACAAGAGCUGCAUCCAGUGAGUGGCUCUGCAGACUCAGGUUUUGGUGGGGACCGCCGCCCAGGGUCAAAGAGAUCUUCAAAGUUUCAGUUGAGGAAGCUUCCAGUACAACCACAUGCUAUAUGGGCUCUGGCUUAGUCGUACAUAGAGGGAAACCCUUGCAUCGAUACCGCCAUUGGAGAGGGG